GACGAACGCUGGCGGCGCGCCUAACACAUGCAAGUCGAACGAGCGAGAGAGAGCUUGCUUUCUCGAGCGAGUGGCGAACGGGUGAGUAACGCGUGAGGAACCUGCCUCAAAGAGGGGGACAACAGUUGGAAACGACUGCUAAUACCGCAUAAGCCCACGGGUCGGCAUCGACCAGAGGGAAAAGGAGCAAUCCGCUUUGAGAUGGCCUCGCGUCCGAUUAGCUAGUUGGUGAGGUAACGGCCCACCAAGGCGACGAUCGGUAGCCGGACUGAGAGGUUGAACGGCCACAUUGGGACUGAGACACGGCCCAGACUCCUACGGGAGGCAGCAGUGGGGAAUAUUGCACAAUGGGGGAAACCCUGAUGCAGCGACGCCGCGUGGAGGAAGAAGGUCUUCGGAUUGUAAACUCCUGUUGUUGGGGAAGAUAAUGACGGUACCCAACAAGGAAGUGACGGCUAACUACGUGCCAGCAGCCGCGGUAAAACGUAGGUCACAAGCGUUGUCCGGAAUUACUGGGUGUAAAGGGAGCGCAGGCGGGAAGACAAGUUGGAAGUGAAAUCUAUGGGCUCAACCCAUAAACUGCUUUCAAACUGUUUUUCUUGAGUAGUGCAGAGGUAGGCGGAAUUCCCGGUGUAGCGGUGGAAUGCGUAGAUAUCGGGAGGAACACCAGUGGCGAAGGCGGCCUACUGGGCACCAACUGACGCUGAGGCUCGAAAGUGUGGGUAGCAAACAGGAUUAGAUACCCUGGUAGUCCACACCGUAAACGAUGAUUACUAGGUGUUGGAGGAUUGACCCCUUCAGUGCCGCAGUUAACACAAUAAGUAAUCCCCCUGGGGAGUACGACCGCAAGGUUGAAACUCAAAGGAAUUGACGGGGGCCCGCACAAGCAGUGGAGUAUGUGGUUUAAUUCGACGCAACGCGAAGAACCUUACCAAGUCUUGACAUCCCUUGACAGACAUAGAAAUAUGUUUUCUCUUCGGAGCAAGGAGACAGGUGGUGCAUGGUUGUCGUCAGCUCGUGUCGUGAGAUGUUGGGUUAAGUCCCGCAACGAGCGCAACCCUUAUGGUCAGUUACUACGCAAGAGGACUCUGGCCAGACUGCCGUUGACAAAACGGAGGAAGGUGGGGAUGACGUCAAAUCAUCAUGCCCUUUAUGACUUGGGCUACACACGUACUACAAUGGCGUUAAACAAAGAGAAGCAAGACCGCGAGGUGGAGCAAAACUCAGAAACAACGUCCCAGUUCGGACUGCAGGCUGCAACUCGCCUGCAUGAAGUCGGAAUUGCUAGUAAUCGUGGAUCAGCAUGCCACGGUGAAUACGUUCCCGGGCCUU
rnacentral:rRNA from 1 species